AUUUAAUCCGUGACAAACUGCAAAGAAAGAAGGUAUUACCCAUACUUUCCUGCAACUUAUUCAAUAUAUAGUUAAUUCAAUACGCCUUCGCCCAUUUAGUACUACUAAACUGUAAAUUUUGACAUACUAAAACGCUGUUUUCUGACUAUCAGAAUUCUGUCAAAUCGUCCCCAAAGUCCAGGAAAUGGCAUUUCAGAGACUCUAAAUUUAAAAAUUUCCUCGGGCCUUCGGCCCUUGCUUUCAGCCCCGCCCCCCAAUCUAAAAGAGCUUCCUACGGUCCUGAGGUAUAUGAACGGCGAGUUUGACCAGUAAUGAAUUUACUAAAUGGGCAUAUCUUUUCAUUGUGUACAGUCUGUGUUAAUAACUUUAUAUUUAUUGUCAUCUUUCGCCGUCAACGCAU